rnacentral:rRNA from 1 species
UACGGGGGGAGCAAGCGUUGUUCGGAUUUACUGGGCGUAAAGGGCGCGUAGGCGGCCAGCACAAGUCAGUUGUGAAAUCUCCGGGCUUAACCCGGAAAGGUCAACCGAUACUGCGGGGCUAGAGUGCAGAAGGGGCAACUGGAAUUCUCGGUGUAGCGGUGAAAUGCGUAGAUAUCGAGAGGAACACCUGCGGCGAAGGCGGGUUGCUGGGCUGACACUGACGCUGAUGUGCGAAAGCUAGGGGAGCGAACGGG